AAAGGUCACAACUUUUAACAGCAAAGGCGAAACGUUCUCCACGGUUCUUUUUCCACGGCCCAUCAUGGAAACACUAAGCUACAGAACACAAAAUUUAACCAGAGCUGAGAAAGCAAGACAACUCCAUAGCUGAAAGCAAGACAACUCACUCGGGACCAACCCAGUUCCACAGCCUGCUGGACCAGGAGAGGUCGCCAGGGGAUCCGAACUUCAGCCCCGAGGAAGCUGUCCCUGCACAGACGCGCUCACUCGUCCAGGCCCAGCAGAGUGAGUGGCUUUCCCAGCUUAUAUCUAUCACACAAACAGCAGUUGAUGGAGAAUGUCUCGGAAGGUCUGCAGAGCCCAGCAGCCAAACAGAGGGAAAGCCGAACAAUUCGGAACGUGCCUGGUGGAUCCAGGGCUCUCCGCGGUGUCUAGUGUAGCUCGGACAAACUGUGCUACCAGAAAUGCUCCAAAAUGCUCCUCUCAUAACGAUUCCACACACGAGGCCGCCAUCAUAAAUAUUACAUUUUCUCCCCAGUCACAACCCAGCUGACUUUGUUUAAAGGAAUAUGUACAGGUAGCCUCUAUUCCAAGGCUACGUUCGUGAAAAGAUGGCCACGGUAUUCGAAAGUGUUGCCAUGUCCCUUUUAAUGUAAACACCACCAGUAACUGUGUAGUGGACCAACACAGGACGUGCCGUUUGGAGUUAGACAGCUGGUCUGUGUGUGUGUGGAGGAUCAUGAAAACGUGGUUAUUCUCAAGUGCUAUCAACAAUGUUGACACUUCCUGUGAUCUUUGCAACUUCUUAGAGGAGACUACUCAACAUGGCCAGUGUGAUAUUGUCUCUAAGGUGCUUCUAAUUCCUCCAUCUCUUCUGUAAACAUUUAUAAUACCCCGUGAUCUGCCAGGAAUUCUGACUGCUCCUCCAGGCUGGGGAGGUAAAUGUGACUCAGAUUUUUCAGGGAGCUCCCUGCGGAGCCUGGCAGAUGUGAAGAAUCUCCCAGCACCAGGAGGGAAGUGUCAAGAUCCCAUGUAUGCACGUGUUCACUCACUCCCCAGGGUCAGGGAAAGGUCAAAGUUUUCUCCUGCAAUAUCAAAAGCAGAAAUAACAAAAAACAACGACAAUCAACUAAAAACUGUUUAAGUACACGCAGGAACCGGGCACCUCUAACUCCCAUAUCCCAUUACCCUGGAUGUUCUCUGAGCCAUAGCUGCAAGGGAACCUGAGAAAUCCGGUGUCCAGCUAAGCAGGCAUAGUUCCUCUGAAAUGGUAGAGCUCCUAUUCCUGAACAGAAUAAAUGGAGAAUGGCCACAGUGGAAUGGUCACUGUGGUUUCUCCAUGUGUUAUUUUCAACCAUUGCCAAAUAAGGAUCCAGAAGGACCUUCCACAUCAGAAAGUGUGGCUAGGGACUCAAAGUCCCUGGGGGAGACCCUAUUACUAUUUCUUUGUACAUAGACAGAGUAUCAAACUGCUUCCUAAAUUCUUAUCUUUAUACUUGGGGUGAGAGCAGGCCUCUUUCCACAGUGGAUAGCAGUUAAUACAGAGAUAGACAACUGGCCGAAAUGAAGAGAGUAUGUGUCUGUGGAACGCCAGCCUGUAAAUGGGGUUUCUAUACCACACCCUUUGCUCCCAAGUCUCAAGAACAUGGCGGGAAAGGGAAUGGAAAGAUUACAACAGCCAGAGCCUGGGGAGCUAUUGACAGACAGUUGAUAGCUACUAGAAGGUGGGAAAUCCAUUUUCUGCAGGGCUGUGCCCUCUGGUAGGUCAACCACGCGCUAGAAGAUACAUCUAUACACAUCUGAGAAGCACUAAUUCGUGACUGAGUGAAUCGUGAGAAAGGAAGACGUGAAGUUAGAAACGGGUCUUGGGGUGGAAUCUGGGAGCAGUUGGAGGGGGAUGAGGGUGGUGGAUAUGAUCAAAGUACUUUGUAUGCAUUCACGUAAUUCUCAAAGAAUUAAAAGUGAAGCAUUGGUGAGCAUAUUGGUUACUCUGUGCGGUGUCUGUACACCACAAUGGACAAGACGUGUGAUCAUUAUCUUCCAUUGAAAUCUUAUAAUCACACAUAAUUAUCUACUGUGUAUUUAUUAGAAUAUCUGGCUUGUUUUCCCAUUGAAUUUCUUAAAUCUCUCACCAUUUAAGUUGAUAUUGAAAUAAAUAGUAGCAUAAGGUA